GAUGAACGCUGGCGGCGUGCCUAAUACAUGCAAGUCGAGCGAACAGACGAGGAGCUUGCUCCUCUGACGUUAGCGGCGGACGGGUGAGUAACACGUGGAUAACCUACCUAUAAGACUGGGAUAACUUCGGGAAACCGUAGCUAAUACCGGAUAAUAUAUUGAACCGCAUGGUUCAAUAGUGAAAGACGGUUUUGCUGUCACUGAUAGAUGGAUCCGCGCCGCAUUAGCUAGUUGGUAAGGUAACGGCUUACCAAGGCAACGAUGCGUAGCCGACCUGAGAGGGUGAUCGGCCACACUGGAACUGAGACACGGUCCAGACUCCUACGGGAGGCAGCAGUAGGGAAUCUUCCGCAAUGGGCGAAAGCUUGACGGAGCAACGCCGCGUGAGUGAUGAAGGUCUUCGGAUCGUAAAACUCUGUUAUUAGGGACGAACAAAUGUGUAAGUAACUAUGCACGUCUUGACGGUACCUAAUCAGAAAGCCACGGCUAACUACGUG
rnacentral:rRNA from 1 species